rnacentral:tRNA from 1 species
AGAAGCAGCUUUUGCUUUGCACACCCGAUUUUGGGUCUGUAGCUCAGUUGGUUAGAGCGCACCCCUGAUAAGGGUGAGGUCGGCAGUUCGAAUCUGCCCAGACCCACCAGUUACCUGGUGAAGUUGGUCAGAGCGCGUACGACACCCGGAUACGGGGCCAUAGCUCAGCUGGGAGAGCGCCUGCCUUGCACGCAGGAGGUCAGCGGUUCGAUCCCGCUUGGCUCCACCACUUACUGCUUCUGUUUGAAAGCUUAGAAAUGAGCAUUCCACCCCGAGAGAUUGAAAGGGUGCGUGAAUGUUGAUUUCUAGUCUUUGAUUAGAUCGUUCUUUAAAAAUUUGGGUAUGUGAUAGAAAGAAAUAUAGACCGGGCACCUCUUUCACUGGUGCGUGUCCGGGCUAAGGUAAAGUUUGUGAAAUGCAAACUUUCGG